rnacentral:rRNA from 1 species
UUUAAAAUCUGGCGGCAUUUUGGCGUCCGAAUUGUAUUCUAGAGAAGUGUUACCCGUGCUGGGCCGUGUAUAAGUCUCCUGGGAUGGAGCGUCAGAGAGGGUGAGAAACCCGUAUUUGACACGGAGUGCCAGUGCAUUGUGGUAUGCUCUCAAAGAGUUGAGUUGUUUGGGAAUGCAGCUCUAAAUGGGUGGUAAAUUCCAUCUAAAGCUAAAUAUUGGCGAGAGACCGAUAGCGAACAAGUACCGUGAGGGAAAGAUGAAAAGAACUUUGGAAAGAGAGUUAAACAGUAUGUGAAAUUGUUGAAAGGGAAACGUUUGAAGUCAGUCAUGUUGGUCAGGGAUCAAGCUAGCAGGAAACUGCUGGGUGUACUUCCUGGGCAAUGGGCCAACAUCAGUUUUGAUUGCUGGAGAAAGGCUGAGGUAAUGUGGCACUCUUUUGAGUGUGUUAUAGACCUUAGUCAUAUACAGCAGUUGGGACUGAGGAAUGCAGCGCGCCGUAAGGCAGGGUUUCGACCACGUUCGCGCUUAGGAUGUUGGCAUAAUGGCUUUAAGCGACCCGUCUUGAAACACGGACCAAGGAGUCUAACAUUCCUGCGAGUGUUUGGGUUGAAAACCCUUGCGCGCAAUGAAAGUGAAAGUUGAGAACCUUCUGUUAUAAGGAAGGAGCAUCGAUGCCCAGACCAGAACUUUUGGGACGGAUCUGCGGUAGAGCAAGCAUGUUGGGACCCGAAAGAUGGUGAACUAUGCCUGAAUAGGGCGAAGCCAGAGGAAACUCUGGUGGAGGCUCGUAGCGAUUCUGACGUGCAAAUCGAUCGUCG